GGCUGACCAGAUCUGGAAGGAGUACUUCAUCUUGUGGAUGGACACCCGCUGCACCUGCACCCCCAGAUCACUCUCGAGGUGCUCCACCACCUUCUUCUGGGCUUGCAGGAUCUCUUUUUCCACGGGGUACACAAACAUGGAGCCCCCAUCGUGGUCCAUGCAGAGGAACUUGAUUUUCUCCAGCGACACAUUUUCAUCCAGCUUCAGCUUGUGCACCUCAGGGCCAGCCAUGACCCGCAGCAUCGGCUCCAGGUCCUCAGCGUAGCGGCACAU
rnacentral:lncRNA from 1 species